GGCGAGAGACCGAUAGCGAACAAGUACCGUGAGGGAAAGAUGAAAAGAACUUUGAAAAGAGAGUUAAACAGUACGUGAAAUUGUUGAAAGGGAAACGAUUAAAGUCAGUCGUACUGACGGGGAAUCAACCUUUCGAAUGUGAUAACGUGGGGUUUCAAAGAGCCUUUGUUUCUCCCGGCAUUCGCGUUCUUUUGGUGCACUUUCUCGUGUUUGUAGGUUAGCAUCGGUUUCGACCGUUAUAAAA
rnacentral:rRNA from 1 species